AGUAUAACAUCAACUCAUCCAAGAAAAACUCUUCAACUCAUGUCAGCUUAGCCUUUCGUCUCUUCCUAAACAUUUCAUUCUUACUUUUGUACCCCAACUAGUAACAUCUAAAUUUAUUUUUGUAGUCUCAAAUUGUGUUUGGGUUUCGGAACAUUCUAGUGUAUUAAUCAUGUGCUGUGGACCUUGCGGUGGCUGCUGUGGACCAUGUGGACCUUGCUGUGGUGGCGGGGGCUGCUACGGUCCUAAUGUCUGUGGACCGUGCGGUGCAACGGGACCUUGCUUCGGCUGCUGCGGCGGUCCUUGUUGUGGACCCUGCGGUGGCUGUUGCAGUAGCUGUGGCCCUUCUUGCUAAUGGCUUACUGUGAGAAGCAUGAAACUGGUUUAGCAUUGAAUGAAUGAAUUGAAUGUAAAACUAUGAUUUGAGACUUAAAUUUAACUCUAAAUAUUGGUGGAAAAAUUAAAUAAACAUCAUGUAAGAAUAGGAAAA